AUUGAACGCUGGCGGCAGGCCUAACACAUGCAAGUCGAGCGGAUGAAGGGAGCUUGCUCCUGGAUUCAGCGGCGGACGGGUGAGUAAUGCCUAGGAAUCUGCCUGGUAGUGGGGGAUAACGUCCGGAAACGGGCGCUAAUACCGCAUACGUCCUGAGGGAGAAAGUGGGGGAUCUUCGGACCUCACGCUAUCAGAUGAGCCUAGGUCGGAUUAGCUAGUUGGUGGGGUAAAGGCCUACCAAGGCGACGAUCCGUAACUGGUCUGAGAGGAUGAUCAGUCACACUGGAACUGAGACACGAUACAGACUCGUACGGGAGGCGGCAGAGGAGAGUAUUGGACAAAGGGAGAAGUCCUAGUCCGACCAUGCCACGUGGCGGAAAAAACUCUUCGGAUUUUAGAGCUAUUUAAGUUGGGAGGAAGGACAAUAAUUUAAUACCGAGCUGUUUUGACGUUACCAAAAGAAUAAGCACCGGCUAACUUCGUG
rnacentral:rRNA from 1 species